GAUGAAUGCUGGCGGCGUGCCUAACACAUGCAAGUCGAGCGGCAGCGCAGUCUUCGGACUGGCGGCGAGCGGCGGACGGCUGAGUAACGCGUGGGAACGUACCCAAAGUGAGGAAUAACCGCCCGAAAGGGUGGCUAAUACCGCAUAUGGUCUUCGGAUUAAAGGAUUUAUCCGCUUUGGGAACGGCCUGCGUACGAUUAGAUUGUUGGUGGGGUAAAGGCCUACCAAGUCGACGAUCGUUAACUGGUCUGAGAGGAUGAUCAGUCAGACUGGAACUGAGACACGGUCCAGACUCCUACGGGUGGCUG
rnacentral:rRNA from 1 species